rnacentral:rRNA from 1 species
AACGAACGCUGGCGGCAGGCUUAAUACAUGCAAGUCGAGCGGGCACUUCGGUGUCAGCGGCGCACGGGUGCGUAACGCGUGGGAACAUGCCUUUAGGUACGGAACAACCAAGGGAAACUUUGGCUAAUACCGUAUAAUAUCUCUGGAUCAAAGAUUUAUCGCCUAAAGAUUGGCCCGCGUUAGAUUAGGUAGUUGGUGGGGUAAUGGCCUACCAAGCCGACGAUCUAUAGGGGGUCUGAGAGGAUGAUCCCCCACACUGGAACUGAGACACGGUCCAGACUCCUACGGGAGGCAGCAGUAAGGAAUAUUGGACAAUGGGCGAAAGCCUGAUCCAGCCAUGCCGCGUGAGUGAUGAAGGCCUUAGGGUUGUAAAGCUCUUUUAGAUUGGAAGAUAAUGACUGUACCAUCAGAAUAAGCCCCGGCUAAAUUCGUG